rnacentral:rRNA from 1 species
UGGGGAAUAUUGCGCAAUGGAGAAGAACUCUGACGCAGCAAUACCGCGUGAGCGAAGAAGGUCUUCGGAUCGUAAAGCUCUGUUAUCAGGGAAGAAGAAAAUGACGGUACCUGAUGAGCAAGUCCCGGCUAACUACGUGCCAGCAGCCGCGGUAAUACGUAGGGGACAAGCGUUGUCCGGAAUCACUGGGCGUAAAGGGCGCGCAGGCGGUGAUUUAAGCAGGAUGUGAAAGGCUACGGCUCAACCGUAGACAUGCACCCUGAACUGGGUCACUUGAGUAUUGGAGAGGCAGGCAGAAUUCCUGGUGUAGCGGUGAAAUGCGUAGAUAUCAGGAGGAAUACCGGAGGCGAAGGCGGCCUGCUGGACAAAUACUGACGCUGAGGCGCGAAAGCGUGGGGAG